AAACAUAUCUGGGGGACAUUUCCUUGACAAAUCUUUGUUUCUCUCCCAGGCUUCAUAGAGGGUCUCCCCAUCUUGUUAUCUAAAAGUCUGGACCUCAGCUCUUAGUCU